rnacentral:rRNA from 1 species
UAAGGAAUAUUGGUCAAUGGACGAAAGUCUGAACCAGCCAUGCCGCGUGAAGGAUGAAUGCCCUCUGGGUUGUAAACUUCUUUUAUAUGGGACGAAAAAAGAUCUUUCUAGGUCACCUGACGGUACCAUAUGAAUAAGCACCGGCUAACUCCGUGCCAGCAGCCGCGGUAAUACGGAGGGUGCAAGCGUUAUCCGGAUUCACUGGGUUUAAAGGGUGCGUAGGUGGGUUGGUAAGUCAGUGGUGAAAUCU